rnacentral:rRNA from 1 species
CUGUUAUCCCCACGGUAACUUGUUAGAUGUCCUUUUUGAAGGGUUGAUUUUUAAAAAAAUUUAAAAAGAUUUUGUUUUUGGACCGCCCCAGUUAAAACUUAUUUGAAGUUCGGUGGGGUCUUGUCGUCUUCUCUAUAGAUUUAAGCCUUUUUACUUAAAUGGAAAUUUGGAGGAAUCAAAAUAAUAAAGGGUUCAACUCGUUAAUCCUUUCAUUCGAGCCUAAAAUUAAAAGGCAAAUGAUUACGCUACCUUAGCACAAAAUUGCGGCUAUUUAAAAUUCAUUGAGCAGGAUGAUACUAAUUA